rnacentral:piRNA from 1 species
UAGACGUUUGUAGUGACAGUAGUGCCUUG